rnacentral:rRNA from 1 species
UGACCUCAGAUCAGACAAGGAUACCGCUGAACUUAAGCAUUCAUACG